GACGAACGCUGGCGGCGUGCUUAACACAUGCAAGUCGAACGGAAAGGCCCUGCUUGCAGGGUACUCGAGUGGCGAACGGGUGAGUAACACGUGGGUGAUCUGCCCUGCACUUCGGGAUAAGCCUGGGAAACUGGGUCUAAUACCGGAUAGGAGCCAUUUUUAGUGUGAUGGUUGGAAAGUUUUUUCGGUGUAGGAUGAGCUCGCGGCCUAUCAGCUUGUUGGUGGGGUAAUGGCCUACCAAGGCGGCGACGGGUAGCCGGCCUGAGAGGGUGGACGGCCACAUUGGGACUGAGAUACGGCCCAGACUCCUACGGGAGGCAGCAGGGGGGAAUAUUGCACAAUGGGCGCAAGCCUGAUGCAGCGACGCCGCGUGGGGGAUGACGGCCUUCGGGUUGUAAACUCCUUUCGCUAGGGACGAAGCUUUUUGUGACGGUACCUAGAUAAGAAGCACCGGCUAACUACGUG
rnacentral:rRNA from 3 species